UACUCUAACACCCUCAACAUUGCACCAAAUUAUAAGCUGCCCAACACGAACUCCAAUGUCUGGAAAUGACUCGCCAAUGUCAGCACAUAGGUCAAAGUAACAGUACGUGUCGGGGUCAAUGUUCUGAAACACAAAUAUUCCAUUUUUGUAAUGUAACAUCAUGGUAUACAACCCACCUCCCAUGGAUGUUGUUCUGCAAUAAUUCAAGAUAUCAUCAAUUUCAUAAUUCAAUAUAACAUCAAUUUCAGCAGAAUAGAAAAACAAGGAAAAAACCCUAAACCAUAAUUUUAUCGUAAGGAAAUUAAAAGAAUAACUGCAACAAAUUUAAAGUUUCAAAACAAAUGCCUAGAAAUUAGAGUUUUCACAUGCCCGAAUGAAAAUCGUAAAAAAACAUAAGAUAUAUAGAAUCUAGAGUUUGGCAAAGAAUCUUAUCAAUUUGGUGUUCUUAUUCUAUACAUUCCCACUUCUGAAAUUUAUUUUAAAAUUUGAAACAUUUAUUAUUCCUGCUUUUGUUUUAUUCCAAUUUUUCUUUUAUCAUUUUUUUCCUUCAAAUUAAGCCUCUCAUCAAAUCCAACUUUGUGCUCCGAUAUUAAAAAUAUCACUCACUUCAUACCUUCUCUAUUAGUCAAAACUAAGAACACAAUGCCCAAAUUAAAAAUAUAUUUGUUUGCAAAGAAAAAAGUAUUUUAAAGACAGUGAAAGAAAGAAAAUAGAAAAAAAAAAUCGGGUUCAAAUGUUUGAAAAUCGAAAAUAAACACAACGAACUCACCUCAAAACCACGGGAUGAAGAAGCCACAUGCAAGGCGAUCAGAAAUGCUCACUUUCCGGGACGCCAAGCAAUGGAAGAGCGGCGAAAAGAGAGCAGCAAGAAAUGAAAACCCUAAUUUCUUACAGAACG
rnacentral:lncRNA from 1 species